CAGGGAGAUAAGAUAAGAGGAAAAAGAUAAGAAGGAGUAAGGGAAGAGAAGAAAGGGAUUGCCGAUGGUUGUAUAACUGAAGAUGGUUCCUCGGAAGCUGGUAUAACUCGGGGUAGGUACAACAAUAGGUGUGCCUCGGCUUCGAUAACCCUUGGUGCUAUCCUGAAGUUCUGAUAGAAGAAAUAGAAGUGACGCUGACGAAGACGGAAGAAUAGAGAGAAUAGAAUGGCUAAA